rnacentral:rRNA from 1 species
AGACCCGAAACCCGGUGAUCUAGCCAUGGGCAGGUUGAAGGUUGGGUAACACUAACUGGAGGACCGAACCGACUAAUGUUGAAAAAUUAGCGGAUGACCUGUGGCUGGGGGUGAAAGGCCAAUCAAACCGGGAGAUAGCUGGUUCUCCCCGAAAGCUAUUUAGGUAGCGCCUCGUGAAUUCAUCUCCGGGGGUAGAGCACUGUUUCGGCUAGGGGGCCAUCCCGGCUUACCAACCCGAUGCAAACUGCGAAUACCGGAGAAUGUUAUCACGGGAGACACACGGCGGGUGCUAACGUCCGUCGUGAAGAGGGAAACAACCCAGACCGCCAGCUAAGGUCCCAAAGUCAUGGUUAAGUGGGAAACGAUGUGGGAAGGCCCAGACAGCCAGGAUGUUGGCUUAGAAGCAGCCAUCAUUUAAAGAAAGCGUAAUAGCUCACUGGUCGAGUCGGCCUGCGCGGAAGAUGUAACGGGGCUAAACCAUGCACCGAAGCUGCGGCAGCGAACGUAUCACCCAAGACAACUUUACGGAGUUGACGAUUGACGGAGCGAAGCGACGUCAAAGCGUUCAUUAAAGUCGAGUUGGCUUAGGGAUACGUUCGUUGGGUAGGGGAGCGUUCUGUAAGCCUGUGAAGGUGUGUCGUGAGGCAUGCUGGAGGUAUCAGAAGUGCGAAUGCUGACAUAAGUAACGAUAAAGCGGGUGAAAAGCCCGCUCGCCGGAAGACCAAGGGUUCCUGUCCAACGUUAAUCGGGGCAGGGUGAGUCGACCCCUAAGGCGAGGCCGAAAGGCGUAGUCGAUGGGAAACGGGUUAAUAUUCCCGUACUUGGUGUUACUGCGAAGGGGGGACGGAGAAGGCUAUGUUGGCCGGGCGACGGUUGUCCCGGUUUAAGCGUGUAGGUGUGUGUUCCAGGUAAAUCCGGUUCACUUUAACACUGAGGCGUGACGACGAGGCACUACGGUGCUGAAGCAACAAAUGCCCUGCUUCCAGGAAAAGCCUCUAAGCAUC